UUAACACAAUGGCCUCCAGCAGCUUCAGACUACUGCUUUUAACUCUCUGCUGGGCAGGAGCUCGCAGUCAGACUCUGACUGAGUCUGAUCCUGUGGUCAAAAAGCCAGGAGAGUCCCACACAUUGACCUGUACAGGCUCUGGGUUCACAAUGAGUAGCUACCAUACGGCCUGGAUCAGACAGGCUCCUGGGAAAGGAGUGGAGUUGAUUGCCUGGCACCACAGCGGCAGUAGCAGCAACAGAUAUUACUCUGAGUCAGUCCGGGGCCGCUUCACCAUCUCCAGAGACGACAGCAGAAAUCAGGUGCUUCUGCAGAUGAACAGUCUAAAAAUGGAAGAUUCUGCUGUUUAUUACUGUGCGAGACACAUGUAUGUUGCUUUUGACUACUGGGGAAAAGGAACGAUGGUGACUGUCACAUCAGCCACUUCUACUGGGCCAACGGUGUUUCCUCUGAGUCCAUGCAGCUCUGACAGUGCAACCACCUUCACUCUUGCCUGCCUGGCCACUGGCUUCUCUCCCGCCUCACUCACUUUCUCAUGGACCAAAAGCGACACGGCCUUGACUGAUUUCCUCCAGUAUCCUGCAGUCCAGAGAGGAGAAACUUACACUGGCAUCAGUCAAAUCCAGGUGAAAAGAGAAGACUGGAACAAGCUGGACAGCAUCAAAUGUCUGGCCAGUCAUCCUGUCGGGCAAUCCCCGGGUGCUUUUGUCUUCCCUGAGGUGAAAUAUAUUGAACCAACUCUUAAAGUGUGUUUCUCUGAAGAGGACAAUGAGGUUACGUUCUCCUGCAUUGCCAAAGAUUUUGCUCCAAAGGAACACAACAUAACAUGGCAGAAAAAUACAGGAGAAAUCACUGGCAAAAUAGACAAGAUUGAGACCAUUUCUGCAGGAAGAGCGGGGAAUGAAACCACACUGUACAGCGCAUCAAGUUUUCUCAGUGUUGAGCCCGAUGAGUGGAGUAAAGGUACUACAUAUACAUGUGUGUUUGAGAGGAAAGGGAAAGACAAUAUCAGCAAAUCUGUGACCUACAAAGAAUCCACCACAACCUGUGAUGGGUGUCGAGAAGCAGAUGUGGAAGUAACUAUUGAAGGUCCCUCAAUUGAAAACAUGUCUGUGAACAGAAAAGGAACUCUGACCUGUGAAGUCAAGGUAAACAAGGGAAGAGUGGAAAAGAUUUUCUGGGAGAACAGCUCCGGAAAAGAAAUAGCUGGCAGUCAGCUGGAGCCUGGCAAGGGAAAGCAAAGCACACUUUUCCAUACUAUUGACAUCACCUAUGAGGAAUGGAGCCAGGGGACAGGAUUCUUCUGUGUGGUCGAGCAUGACAACAUGAUAGAGCCACUGAAGAAAGAGUACCAAAAGGACAUCGGUAAACAAUGUCAGCGGCCUUCAGUGUUUAUGCUGCCACCAGUUGAACAUCCUAAAACAGAAAGGGUGACCCUGACUUGCUUUGUGAAAGACUUCUCUCCUCCGGAGGUUUUUGUCUCUUGGCUUGUUAACGAUGAGGAAGCAGGUUCAAAAUAUGACUUCAACACCACCAGCCCUGUAGAAAGCAAAGGAUCGUAUUCUGCUUACGGCCAGUUAACACUGAGCUUUGACCAGUGGAGCGACAGUGAUGCUGUGUAUAGCUGUGUCGUUUACCACGAGUCCUUGGUCAACACAACAAAAGCCAUUGUCAGAUCCAUUGGCUACAGAACAUUUGAAAAGAACAACGUGGUGAACCUCAGCAUGAAUGUCCCCGACACGUGCAAGGCCCAGUAGAUGUUUCCUUCUGUCUCGCUGUGUCCUCUGUUGUUUGGAUGUUCAUGUUUGUUGCUUGUGAUAUUACAAUGUGUUUGUGUGUUUUCACUGCAGAUUCAAAAUCAAAAUAAAAAAAAAAAUCUUUGCAAAUCCUUUAA